rnacentral:rRNA from 1 species
UGAAAUUGAUUUAAGUGAAAAAUUAAGUUUUGAACGUAUGUUUGAUGUAAUGGAUAGUAAGCAAAUUAAAAAUAUUGAAGUGAAUUUGAAUUAGUUCGAGUUAAUAGCAUAAUAGCUUAAGAAGCGGCUUAACGACAAAAUGUGAAUUGGCAUUUGUGUCCUUAUAUAAGGAACUGUGUUAAAUACAUUACUGUUGUUAAGUUGUUUUUGUAAUUCAAAGAGCAGAACAGAGUAACAUCAUCAGUUGUAGUAAACGAUAAUCCGGUAAAACAACUAAAUGAAAUAAUGAAAGUCAUUUAACCUGAACAUUAAAAUAUAUUUGUUUUUCAUUAAGAAUAAUUCAAGUAUAUUUAAAUCGAGGUUAAUUAUCGUAUGAAACGAUGCACGUUAUAAUAAAAAUGUAUGAUUCAAAUUACGUAAUGAAAACAAUCCAAUAUAUUAAGAUUGGAGCAAAUAAAUAUGAAAUUUACAGCAUUAGCAAAAGCGACAUUAGCUUUAGGAAUUUUAACAACAGGAACUUUAACAACAGAAGUUCAUUCAGGUCAUGCAAAACAAAAUCAAAAGUCAGUAAAUAAACAUGACAAGGAAGCAUUAUACCGAUACUACACUGGAAAGACUAUGGAAAUGAAAAAUAUUAGUGCUUUGAAACAUGGUAAAAACAACUUACGUUUUAAGUUUAGAGGUAUUAAGAUUCAAGUUUUACUGCCUGGAAAUGAUAAAAGUAAAUUUCAACAGCGUAGUUAUGAGGGGUUAGAUGUUUUCUUUGUUCAAGAAAAAAGAGAUAAGCACGAUAUAUUUUAUACUGUUGGUGGUGUAAUACAGAAUAAUAAAACAUCUGGAGUUGUCAGUGCACCAAUAUUAAAUAUUUCAAAAGAAAAGGGUGAAGAUGCUUUUGUGAAAGGUUACCCUUAUUACAUUAAAAAAGAAAAAAUAACACUAAAAGAACUGGAUUAUAAGUUGAGAAAGCAUCUAAUUGAAAAAUACGGACUUUAUAAAACAAUCUCAAAAGAUGGUAGGGUCAAAAUUAGCUUGAAAGAUGGCAGUUUUUAUAACCUUGAUUUAAGAUCUAAAUUAAAAUUUAAAUAUAUGGGGGAAGUCAUAGAAAGCAAACAAAUUAAAGAUAUUGAAGUUAACUUAAAGUAAAUCAUUACGAAUAAUUAAAAGUAAUUGAAGCGGCUUAACGGUGAAAUGUAAAUUGGUGCGCAUAGCUUAUACAAAAAGGAUGCAUCAAUCGAUAUCGUCGUUAAGCCGUUUUGGUUUGUGUGUCAUGAAUCCUAUCCCAAUCUCCAUAAAGGUAAAAUUUCCACCACCAACAUCAAAAUUCUCCACAUCGCAACAUAACCAAAUGUUAUAAUAAAUCUAUUACACAAAGAGAUAAAUUACUUAUUCAAAGGCGGAGGAAUCACAUGUCUAUUACUGAAAAACAACGUCAGCAACAAGCUGAAUUACAUAAAAAAUUAUGGUCGAUUGCGAAUGAUUUAAGAGGGAAUAUGGAUGCGAGUGAAUUCCGUAAUUACAUUUUAGGCUUGAUUUUCUAUCGCUUCUUAUCUGAAAAAGCGGAACAAGAAUAUGCAGAUGCCUUGUCAGGUGAAGACAUCACGUAUCAAGAAGCAUGGGCAGACGAAGAAUACCGUGAAGACUUAAAAGCAGAAUUAAUUGACCAAGUCGGUUACUUCAUUGAGCCAGAAGAUUUAUUCAGUGCGAUGAUUCGUGAAAUUGAAACGCAAGAUUUCGAUAUCGAACACCUGGCGACGGCAAUUCGUAAAGUUGAAACAUCAACAUUAGGUGAAGAAAGUGAAAAUGACUUUAUCGGUCUGUUCAGCGAUAUGGAUUUGAGUUCAACGCGACUAGGUAACAAUGUCAAAGAACGUACUGCUUUAAUCUCUAAAGUCAUGGUUAAUCUUGACGACUUACCAUUCGUUCACAGUGACAUGGAAAUUGAUAUGUUAGGUGAUGCAUAUGAAUUCCUAAUUGGGCGCUUUGCGGCGACAGCGGGUAAAAAAGCAGGCGAGUUCUAUACACCACAACAAGUAUCUAAGAUACUGGCGAAGAUUGUCACAGACGGUAAAGAUAAAUUACGUCACGUGUAUGACCCAACAUGUGGUUCAGGUUCACUGUUGUUACGUGUUGGUAAAGAAACACAAGUGUAUCGUUA